rnacentral:misc_RNA from 1 species
GAGAAGGAGGAGGAGGCAUCUGGCCACCGCCUAAUUUUGGCGGAGGAACAUAGGACUGUAUUUUAAGCAAACACAUUUAACUGUUGGGCAAACAAGAUUAAUUAGUAAGUUCCUGCUUGUUUAAGCUCAUGUUGAUUAGGAAUUUAAGGUUAAUUAAUCUAGUUUGUUUUAAUGGAGCAAGUUUGGUCAUCCUGUAAAAUGCAGGAUAGACCAAAUUUGAUCCAUUAACAAUUUAGAUAACAUUCAUAUGUAAUUUAAUUAAGGAACCCUUUCACACUUUUUGUAAGCA